rnacentral:lncRNA from 1 species
UGUUCGUCCGCGGGACUCGGAAUGGCACCAUACUUGGCGGGCGGCCUCUGUGUGCGAAAAAUAGGCCACGGGCACAGCCGCGCCCAAAAAUCAGCCCCCGAAGGUCGGGGUCCCAAGACCCCCCAGCGGAAAAAUGGCCAAAAAACGGGUGGGCUAUAGCCCUGGUGGGGGGCGUAGGCGAAGUUCUUCCGCGGGACUCGGAAUGGCACCAUACUUGGCGGGCGGCCUCUGUGUGCCAAAAAUACGCCACGGGCACAGCCGCGCCCAAAAAUCAGCACCCGAAGGUCGGUGUCCCAAGACCCCCCAGUGGAAAAAUGGCAAAAAAACGGGUGGGCUAUAGCCUUGGUGGGGGGCGUGGGCGAACUUCGUCCGCGGGACUCGGAAUGGGCCCUGACUUCGCGGGCGGCCUCCGUGUGCCAAAAAUAGGCCACGGGCACAGCCGCGCCCAAAAAUCAGCCCCCGAAGGUCGGGGUCCCAAGACCCCCCAGCGGAAAAAUGGCCAAAAAACGGGUGGGCUAUAGCCUUGGUGGGGGGCGUGGGCGAAGUUCGUCCGCGGGACUCGGAAUGGCACCAUACUUGGCGGGCGGCCUCCGUGUGCCAAAAAUAGGCCACGGGCACAGCCGCGCCCAAAAAUCAGCCCCCGAAGGUCGGGGUCCCAAGACCCCCCAGCGGAAAAAUGGCCAAAAAAUGGGUGGGCUAUAGCCUUGGUGGGGGGCGUGGGCGAAGUCCGUCCGCGGGACUCGGAAUGGCCCCAGACUUGGCGGGCGGCCUCCGUGUGCCAAAAAUAGGCCACGGGCACAGCCGCGCCCAAAAAUCAGCCCCCGAAGGUCGGGGUCCCAAGACCCCCCAGCGGAAAAAUGGCCAAAAAAUGGGUGGGCUAUAGCCUUGGUGGGGGGCGUGGGUGAAGUUCGUCCGCGGGACUCGGAAUGGCACCAUACUUGAUGGGCGGCCUCUGUGUGCCAAAAAUAGGCCACGUGCACAGCCGCGCCCAAAAUUCAGCCCCCGAAGGUUGGGGUCCCAAGACCCCACAGUGGAAAAAUGGCCAAAAAACAGGUGGGCUAUAGCCUUGGUGGGGGGCGUGGGCGAAGUUCGUCCGCGGGACUCGGAAUGGCCCCUGACUUGGCGGGCGGCUCCGUGUGCCAAAAAUAGGCCACGGGCACAGCUGCGCCCAAAAAUCAGCCCCCGAAGGUCGGGGUCCCAAGACCCCCCAGCGGAAAAAUGGCCAAAAAACGGGUGGGCUAUAGCCUUGGUGGGGGGCGUGGGCGAAGUUCGUCCGCGGGACUCGGAAUGGCACCAUACUUGGCGGGCGGCCUCUGUGUGCCAAAAAUAGGCCACGGGCACAGCCGCGCCCAAAAAUCAGCCCCCGAAGGUCGGGGUGCCAAGACCCCCCAGCGGAAAAAUGGCCAAAAAACGGGUGGGCUAUAGCCUUGGUGGGGGGUGUGGGCGAAGUUCGUCCGCAGGACUCGGAAUGGCACCAUACUUGGCGGGCGGCCUCUGUGUGCGAAAAAUAGGCCACGGGCACAGCCGCGCCCAAAAAUCAGCCCCCGAAGGUCGGGGUCCCAAGACCCCCCAGCGGAAAAAUGGCCAAAAAACGGAUGGGCUAUAGCAUUGGUGGGGGGCGUGGGCGAAGUUCGUCCGCGGGACUCGGAAUGGCCCCUGACUUGGCGGGCGGCUCCGUGUGCCAAAAAUAGGCCACGGGCACAGCUGCGCCCAAAAAUCAGCCCCCGAAGGUCGGGGUCCCAAGACCCCCCAGCGGAAAAAUGGCCAAAAAACGGGUGGGCUAUAGCCUUGGUGGGGGGCGUGGGCGAAGUUCGUCCGCGGGACUCCGAUUGGCACCAUACUUGGCGGGCGGCCUCCGUGUGCCAAAAAUAGGCACGGGCAAAGCCGCGCCCAAAAAUCAGCCCCCGAAGGUCGGGGUCCCAAGACCCCCCAGCGGAAAAAUGGCCAAAAAACGGGUGGGCUAUAGCCUUGGUGGGGGGCGUGGGCGAAGAUCGUCCGCGGGACUUCGAAUGGCACCAUACUUGGCGGGCGGCCUCUGUGUGCCAAAAAUAGGCCACGGGCACAGCCGCGCCCAAAAAUCAGCCCCUGAAGGUCGGGGUCCCAAGACCCCCCAGCGGAAAAAUGGCCAAAAAACGGGUGGGCUAUAGCCUUGGUGGGGGGCGUGGGCGAAGUUCGUCCGCGCGACUCGGAAUGGCCCCAGACUUGGCGGGCGGCCUCCGUCUGCCAAAAAUAGGCUACGGGCACAGCCGCGCCCAAAAAUCAGCCCCCGAAGGUCGGGGUCCCAAGACCCCCCAGCGGAAAAAUGGCCAAAAAACGGGUGGGCUAUAGCCUUGGUGGGGGGCGUGGGCGAAGUUCGUCCGCACUACUCGGAAUGGCCCCGGACUUGGCGGGCGGCCUCCGUGUGCCAAAAAUAGGCCACGGGCACAGCCGCGCCCAACAAUCAGCCCCCGAAGGUCGGGGUCCCAAGACCCCCCAGCGGAAAAAUGGCCAAAAAACGGGUGGGCUAUAGCCUUGGUGGGGGGCGUGGGCGAAGUUCGUCCGCGGGACUCGGAAUAGCACCAUACUUGGCGGGCGGCCUCCGUGUGCCAAAAAUAGGCCACGGGCACAGCCGCGCCCAAAAAUCAGCCCCCGAAGGUCGGGGUCCCAAGACCCCCCAGCGGAAAAAUGGCCAAAAAACGGGUGGGCUAUAGCCUUGGUGGGGGGCGUGGGCGAACUUCGUCCGCGGGACUCUGAAUGGCCCCUGACUUGGCGGGCGGCCUCCGUGUGCCAAAAAUAGGCCACGGGCACAGCCGCGCCCAAAAAUCAGCCCCCGAAGGUCGGGGUCCCAAGACCCCCCAGCGGAAAAAUGGCCAAAAAAUCGGUGGGCUAUAGCCUUGGUGGGGGGCGUGGGCGAAGUCCGUCCGCGGGACUCGGAAUGGCCCCAGACUUGGCGGGCGGCCUCUGUGUGGCAAAAAAAGGCCACGGGCACAGCUGCGUCCAAAAAUCAGCCCCCGAAGGUCGGGGUCCCAAGCCCCCCCUGCGGAAUAAUGGCCAAAAAACGGGUGGGCUAUAGCCUUGGUGGGGGGCGUGGGCGAAGUUCGUCCGCGGGACUCGGAAUGGCACCAUACUUGGCGGGCGGCCUCUGUGUGCGAAAAAUAGGCCACGGGCACAGCCGCGCCCAAAAAUCAGCCCCCGAAGGUCGGGGUCCCAAGACCCCCCAGCGGAAAAAAGGCCAAAAAAUGGGUGCGCUAUAGCCUUGGUGGGGGGCGUGGGCGAAGUUCGUCAGCGGGAAUCGGAAUGGCACCAUACUUGGCGGGCGGCCUCUGUGUGCCCAAAAUAGGCCACGGGCACAGCCGCGCCCAAAAAUCAGCCCCCGAAGGUCGGGGUCCCAAGACCCCCCAGUGGAAAAAUGGCCAAAAAACGGGUGGGCUAUAGCCUUGGUGGGGGGCGUGGGCGAACUUCGUCCGCGGGACUCGGAAUGGCCCCUGACUUGGCGGGCGGCCUCCGUGUGCCAAAAAUAGGCCACGGGCACAGCCGCGCCCAAAAAUCAGCCCCCGAAGGUCGGGGUCCCAAGACCCCCCAGCGGAAAAAUGGCCAAAAAACGGGUGGGCUAUAGCCUUGGUGGGGGGCGUGGGCGAAGUUCGUCCGCGGGACUCUGAAUGGCCCCUGACUUGGCGGGCGGCCUCCGUGUGCCAAAAAUCGGCCACGGGCACAGCCGCGCCCAAAAAUCAGCCCCCGAAGGUCGGGGUCCCAAGACCCCCCAGCGGAAAAAAGGCCAAAAAACGGGUGGGCUAUAGCCUUGGUGGGGGGCGUGGACGAAGUUCGUCCGCGGGACUCGGAAUGGCACCAUACUUGGCGGGCGGCCUCUGUGUGCCAAAAAUAGGCCACGGGCACAGCCGCGCCCAAAAAUCAGCCCCCGAAGAUCGGGGUCCCAAGACCCCCCAGUGGAAAAAUGGCCAAAAAACGGGUGGGCUAUAGCCUUGGUGGGGGGCGUGGGCGAAUUUCGUCCGCGGGACUCUGAAUGGCCCCUGACUUGGAGUGCGGCCUCCGUGUGCCAAAAAUAGGCCACGGGCACAGCCGCGCCCAAAAAUCAGCCCCCGAAGGUCGGGGUCCCAAGACCGCCCAGCGGAAAAAUGGCCAAAAAACGGGUGGGCUAUAGCCUUGGUGGGGGGCGUGGGCGAACUUCGUCCGCGGGACUCGAAAUGGUACCAUACUUGGCGGGCGGCCUCUGUGUGCCAAAAAUAGGCCACGGGCACAGCCGCGCCUAAAAAUCAGCCCCCGAAGGUCGGGGUCCCAAGACCCCCCAGUGGAAAAAUGGCCAAAAAACGGGUGGGCUAUAGCCUUGGUGGGGGGCGUGGGCGAACUUCGUCCGCGGGACUCUUAAUGGCCCCUGACUUGGCGGGCGGCCUCCGUGUGCCAAAAAUCGGCCACGGGCACAGCCGCGCCCAAAAAUCAGCCCCCGAAGGUCGGGGUCCCAAGACCCCCCAGCGGAAAAAAGGCCAAAAAACGGGUGGGCUAUAGCCUUGGUGGGGGGCGUGGACGAAGUUCGUCCGCGGGACUCGGAAUAGCACCAUACUUGGCGGGCGGCCUCUGUGUGCCAAAAAUAGGCCACGGGCACAGCCGCGCCCAAAAAUCAGCCCCCGAAGGUCGGGGUCCCAAGACCCCCCAGCGGAAAAAAGGCCAAAAAACGGGUGGGCUAUAGCCUUGGUGGGGGGCGUGGGCGAAGUUCGUCCGCGGGACUCGGAAUGGCACCAUACUUGGCGGGCGGCCUCUGUGUGCGAAAAAUAGGCCACGGGCACAGCCGCGCCCAAAAAUCAGCCCCCGAAGGUCGGGGUCCCAAGACCCCCCAGCGGAAAAAUGGCCAAAAAAAGGGUGGGCUAUAGCCUUGGUGGGGGGCGUGGGCGAACUUCGUCCGCGGGACUCUGAAUGGCCUCUGACUUGGCGGGCGGCCUCCGUGUGCCAAAAAUAGGCCACGGGCACAGCCGCGCCCAAAAAUCAGCCCCCGAAGGUCGGGGUCCCAAGACCCCCCAGCGGAAAAAUGGCCAAAAAACGGGUGGGCUAUAGCCUUGGUGGGGGGCGUGGGCGAAGUUCGUCCGCGCGACUCGGAAUGGCCCCAGACUUGGCAGGCGGCCUCCGUGUGCCAAAAAUAGGCCACGGGCACAGCCGCGCCCAAAAAUCAGCCCCCGAAGGUCGGGGUCCCAAGACCGCCCAGCGGAAAAAUGCCCAAAAAACGGGUGGGCUAUAGCCUUGGUGGGGGGCGUGGGCGAAGUUCGUCCGCGGGAAUCGGAAUGGCACCGUACUUGGCGGGCGGCCUCCGUGUGCCAAAAAUAGGCCACGGGCACAGCCGCGCAAAAAAAUCAGCCCCCGAAGGUCGGGGUCCCAAGACCCCCCAGCGGAAAAAUGGCCAAAAAAAGGGUGGGCUAUAGCCUUGGUGGGGGGCGUGGGCGAAGUUCGUCCGCGGGAGUCGGAAUGGCCUCAGACUUGGCGGGCGGCCUCCGUUUGCCAAAAAUAGGCCACGGGCACAGCCGCGCCCAAAAAUCAGCCCCCGAAGGUCGGGGUCACAAGACCCCCCAGCGGAAAAAUGGCC